GGGGCUGACUGGCUUUGACAGCGUGUAGAAGCGAUAAGUAAGCAUGCAGAGCUUUGGUGUUCAAGCUCUAUAAUCGCAAGAGCAUCGAACUAUAAUUGGCGAAAAUAACAACUACGCUCUCGCUGCGUAAUCUGAAGUACAGUAAGAUUCCUUAAUUCUCCUCCAAGGUGAGGAGAACGAGACAUCAUCCCAUUGCCCGGUUCCGAGACGUUUGGACAAGAUGGUGCUAAGAAAUUCGGAAAUAGGAGGCCGUAAGUUCCGGGCGGUCUCCGAAACUAAGGAACUAAGGAUAAGAUUGGCUGUCGUGAGCCUGUCUUAUCACGAAAAUCAAUUCACAGACUAAGCAUGUAGAAAGCCUAUUGAUUCCGCGUUUGGACGAGGGUUCAAUCCCCUCCAGCUCCACUA
rnacentral:tmRNA from 1 species